rfam:Hymenobacter sp. PAMC26628, complete genome.
GGUAAACUUUAGGGGUGCCCCGCCACGUGGGGCUGAGACAAUACCCUUGGAACCUGAUGCGGAUAAUGCCGCCGAAGGGAAAAGUACUGGUCCGCAC